rnacentral:rRNA from 1 species
UGCAAGUCGAGCGGACAGAUGGGAGCUUGCUCCCUGAUGUUAGCGGCGGACGGGUGAGUAACACGUGGGUAACCUGCCUGUAAGACUGGGAUAACUCCGGGAAACCGGGGCUAAUACCGGAUGCUUGAUUGAACCGCAUGGUUCAAUUAUAAAAGGUGGCUUUUAGCUACCACUUACAGAUGGACCCGCGGCGCAUUAGCUAGUUGGUGAGGUAACGGCUCACCAAGGCAACGAUGCGUAGCCGACCUGAGAGGGUGAUCGGCCACACUGGGACUGAGACACGGCCCAGACUCCUACGGGAGGCAGCAGUAGGGAAUCUUCCGCAAUGGACGAAAGUCUGACGGAGCAACGCCGCGUGAGUGAUGAAGGUUUUCGGAUCGUAAAACUCUGUUGUUAGGGAAGAACAAGUACCGUUCGAAUAGGGCGGUACCUUGACGGUACCUAACCAGAAAGCCACGGCUAACUACGUGCCAGCAGCCGCGGUAAUACGUAGGUGGCAAGCGUUGUCCGGAAUUAUUGGGCGUAAAGCGCGCGCAGGCGGUUUCUUAAGUCUGAUGUGAAAGCCCCCGGCUCAACCGGGGAGGGUCAUUGGAAACUGGGGAACUUGAGUGCAGAAGAGGAGAGUGGAAUUCCACGUGUAGCGGUGAAAUGCGUAGAGAUGUGGAGGAACACCAGUGGCGAAGGCGACUCUCUGGUCUGUAACUGACGCUGAGGCGCGA